rnacentral:rRNA from 1 species
GUGGCGAACGGGUGAGUAACACGUGAGUAACCUGCCCCCGACUCUGGGAUAACUGCUAGAAAUGGUAGCUAAUACCGGAUAUGACGACUGGCCGCAUGGUCUGGUCGUGGAAAGAAUUUCGGUUGGGGAUGGACUCGCGGCCUAUCAGGUUGUUGGUGAGGUAAUGGCUCACCAAGCCUACGACGGGUAGCCGGCCUGAGAGGGUGACCGGCCACACUGGGACUGAGACACGGCCCAGACUCCUACGGGAGGCAGCAGUGGGGAAUAUUGCACAAUGGGCGAAAGCCUGAUGCAGCAACGCCGCGUGAGGGAUGACGGCCUUCGGGUUGUAAACCUCUUUUAGUAGGGAAGAAGCGAAAGUGACGGUACCUGCAGAAAAAGCACCGGCUAACUACGUGCCAGCAGCCGCGGUAAUACGUAGGGUGCAAGCGUUGUCCGGAAUUAUUGGGCGUAAAGAGCUCGUAGGCGGUUUGUCGCGUCUGCUGUGAAAUCCCGAGGCUCAACCUCGGGUCUGCAGUGGGUACGGGCAGACUAGAGUGCGGUAGGGGAGAUUGGAAAUCCUGGUGUAGCGGUGGAAUGCGCAGAUAUCAGGAGGAACACCGAUGGCGAAGGCAGAUCUCUGGGCCGUAACUGACGCUGAGGAGCGAAAGCAUGGGGAGCGAACAGGAUUAGAUACCCUGGUA